GCUAACUUCGGCAAAACAAAUACUAAAAUUGAAACAAUGCACAGAAGAUUAGCAUGGCCUUUGCAGAAGGCUGACACAUAUAUUUGUAAAUACAUAAAAGAUGCUU